GUCCUUCUUGGACAGCUCAGUUGGUUAAAGCAUGGUGCCGAUAAUGCCAAGGUUGCAAGUUUGAUCCCCGUAUAGGACA
rnacentral:tRNA from 1 species